CUUCUGGAGUUGACUCUUGUUACCUGCUUAAAUAAUCAGCCCAAUUAUUGGAUAACUGGCUGACCCCAUGACUGGUCAAAAAUGAGGACACUGAUUGCAGCUUUGUAUUUCAGUUCAUUAACCUCAUGUUCCCUUUUGUUGUGAAGGUCUCCCUGUGAGCAGCAACCGAUUUCAGCAGCCUUUCAAGAAACAUGGUGUGAACUUCCUGUUUGUGAAGAAACAUGGAAACAGGUCUGGAGGGACGCAGCUCCAAGGGGAUUCUUCUCUCCAUCUUCCCAAGAUUGGUGCUGCAGCAUUAGAGAAAAGACAAGAAGUGGGAAGAAGCAGAGGGGAGCAAUCCAUUUCCACAAAGUUGGAGUAGGGAAUGAGAAAGCAGAGCCUCCUCAGAAUCUGUGCUGUUUGUGCUCCCACCUCCUUUCUUUUGAAAGUGAUACUGGCUCUCACUCUGCCAUCCCCCACCCAAAAUUUCCUCUUGGCUCCUUAGGGGCCUGCUUCUUGCAGCAACCCUGAUUGGCUGUUCUUUCCCAGGAGGUGGGAGGGCAGAAAAUCAGACAGAUCUUUCCUUGGGCAAUCUGAAAUGAUAUGAAGACUGGAGUUUCUCAGUGCUGAAAGAUGUCCCAAAGAGGUCCAUGCUUAGGCUUGAAAGGACUAGAUUUUGACUGGUAAAUGUUUGUAUACAUACACAAAGAAACCAGCGAAAAAAUGUUUCCAUCAAUAAUAAUCAAAAUUUACCUGUAGGCAAAGAAAGAAAAGUGCUGCCUGAUUACUUGUUAGAGUUUGAUUUAAGAUUAUUUACUGCAAAUAUUUUGAUAUGUGAUGUUGACAAUUUGUGUUUUAACAGUUACAAAGUUUUUACUUUUUGAAUCUCAAUAUUCGCUAUCAUUAAAUAAUUGGCUGACCCCCCCCUCCAUUGUCUGACAUCUCGAUAAACUACUUACAACUGUGAACAUUUAAGUCAAUAAAAUAGAAAAAAAGCUUAAAAUGCAUACUUUUCUGUAACUGUGAACUUUUAAACCAAUACAAAUCUAAAAAAUGUUUAAAAAUAAACCAGUAUUAACUGUCAAAAUCAUAAAAAUAUAAACACUGAAUUUUCCCAAUCCUAUUUAUAAACAGCACUAAGAUCAAGGGCAGCUUCUUGGUAGCUUCUUAGUAGCUUUUGAAAAACUUUCCACUUAUUUAGAUACUUAAAUAUAUAUUUAGGAGUCUAACUUUAGACUGGUUUUUAAAUUCUUGGCCCUGAUGCUUAAUUACAUGUGUGCAGGUUAGUUUUACAUUUUUGAAGAUCAGACUCCAUAUCCCAAGAGCUGUCUGACAAAGAUGAUAUACAAUUAUUGACUCUUACAAACAAAAGAAAACAAGAACAAACAGCAACAACAACAACAACAAUAAAAAACCACAGCAAAAAACAAAGCUUUCUAGAUUAGCAACAAAAAAAUAUAAGCAAAGCAGAAAUUGUGUCUGGUCUAUCCAGCCUAUCACUUUGGAACAUACGAAAGCAUAAUAAAUAAACCAUAAUCUUUAUAUGUGGCUUCACAUUUGAAGAUACAUUCUUCUGAGCAGAAUUGUGGUCCCAUAACAACAAAUGAUGACACUGAUAAUCUAUAUCUAGCAUUGUCUAUUAUAACACUGAAAUGACAAGCAAAAUAGAUAUGUAAUUUGGUGUAUGGAAACUUUGCACUCUUAAACUUCUGGGUUCUGUCUGCAAAUAAUUUGUAAGAAGUUUAAGUAAUAUGAUUAAGUGUAAAAGUAUGAGCACAUAUAACAAUCAAAGAGGCAUAAGAGACUGCUGUGGCCUAUUGUCACUGUAAUUAUUUUCGUGUGUGUGUGAAAAAGUACUCUAACUAUUAUCUAACCUUAUUUCUAGUGCCAAAUAGUGUUUUUGCUCAUUUAACCUUAUCUGAGUAAAUGGAAUAUAAAAAUGACAAUCAAUUUUGCAUAGUCUCUUAAAUUCAGUAAGAGCUCAUAGUAGAAUGUCUCAUUUUUUUUAAUCCUAAAUGUAUAUACUUCCUUGUAGUGCUAACAGAGUUGGUCUUCACUUUUUAUGCAACAAAGCAUUUGAUUAAUCCCUUGAAAACACAUCAAGAUUACAGCCCUUUGCUCUUACUUGCAUUACCAGCCCAUUAGACUGCCAGGGAAGAGAGAACAUUCAAUUACAGAAAAACAAAUGAAAAUUCAGGGUAGACACUUAAAUUUCUGUCUUCUGAAUAUAGACAUUAUUUGUCAAUCACCACUGACUGAUUUUAUUUCUGUUCAGACUAAAACAAUUAAAGAGGUAGGAUGAUACGUAUGUCAUAAUUGUAUUUAUGAAAUACAAAUGAAAAGUGAAAACUCGAAGUAAUAAAAACGUAGUUACUGUAUUUUAUUAUUAAAAGGACACUCUACCCACCCCCAUGUAAGUAGACAGCUGAGAUUUUCCAUGAGCUGAAGUGAUCCAGCACAACAUGGUUAUAAAGUCUAGACAAGAUAAUAUAGGAAAUUGCAUAGAUUGGGGGGACACAGGCCCGGAUUAACCAUUUAACCCCUUGCAUAGGUCUCCCGAUCUCAGUGUGGCCCUCAUUGGGCCUAUUGUAUUAGACAGAAUAUAUGGGCUAAAGGUGUUGUUACCAGAGUUGCCCCUUAUUUUGGUGUAUGUUCAUUUAUUAGGGUUACUCUUCUGGGGUGUGGAUUCUGUAAUUCUUUCAAUGUACUACUUGUGCCACUUAUAUUUUCAUAUCUUCUUCCUUCUACAAGUUCCCUCCCAAUGGAGCUAGCCUGCAGGAUCUAGUUUCCCCAGGGCUGGGUUCCUCCAGCCCCAGAAUCAGAUGAACAAACACAGACACAUUAACAGAGAGUGCCUGAGUGGACCAGGUCAAGCAGCACUCCCAAGCUGAUUCCUUGUAUGUCCCUGGAUUUAGCAGGCUGGGUCAAACAGCAUUUCCAAGCUGCCACCCUCAUAUGCCACUGCACUGGAAUAGAGUAUGCCUGAGCAGGCUGGGUCGAGCAGCACUUUCAACCUGCCACCCUUAUAUGCCAUGCACUCACACACCUGUUACUAUAUGUUUCUGUUGGAUAAGGCAAAUCUCAGACAUGCACCUUGUACUUGGAACACAGGGUGAUGAGAUUUGUGAUAUCUCUUUCUUUCUGGGGGAGUUUAUUCCACAGUCUCAGACCAGCACAGAGAAAUUUCCAUUAUUGUUGAGAGUUCCACUGUGCCAUAGAAGCAAAAUUGUGAACUGUGGUCUUGUUGUAUACAGGUAAUAAAAAUGGCAGUGUAUAAUAAGAAUAGACAUAUUUAACUCACUGUAUGGACCAUCCAAAUUAAUAGUUUUAUUUUAGUGUCUCCUUGGUAAUUACAUGUAUUUCUGUAACUGAAGGAUACCUUUGCUUGUACAGUAUCCUGACAUUAAAUAAAGUUCAUUUGGUUUUUAACAGGCAUUUUUUCUGGAAGCUGAUCUGCCAGUGUAAAAGGACAAUAUACUCAAAAUUAUCACAUUCUGCCUCUCAGACAGAACAUUUAAAAGUGACGAGGAGAUUCAGCUAGGAGAUCAAGGCCAUUUCAAACAAGCUACUUAACAAAACUGUUUGUAUUUUGAAAUAUGCAGUUCUUGAAAAAAAGACAGGAAUCUUCCUAGUUCAAGUGAGCGUGUGAGACAGUUUUCUGAUACAGGAAGCAAAGAAAAGAAAUUAACACACAAUGAAUUGUGAUGGGAAACUACUUCCAGAAAUACAUUUCUCACUUGGAGAAUCCAAAAAGGAUCAAUUAAUUCUUCAGUCCUAUUCAACAUCUAUAUUCAGCCAUUAGAUGAACUGGCCACAUGACAUGGACUCAAAUGCCAGCAAUAUGCAAUACAAUGAUACAUAACUCUGUGUAUCCUUGACCACCAUCAACAUGAUGGCCCAGUGUUUGGACUGAACUUAGCUCAUGGAUGAAGAACAGUUGGUUGAAAUUGAUCCCCUGCAAGUCAGAGGUGAUGCUGAUGGGCAGAGUAAAACAUUUUUAAGAGUUUGCAGCCACAAUGCAGUCUGUUUUCAUUGAAGGUACAUACCUUGGAUCACUCAAUGAUUGCCAGUUCUACACAUUCCCUCUGAAGCACGUGGCAUUGGCCACUGUCAGAAGACAGGAUACUGGGAUAGAUGGACCAUAGGUCUGACCCAGUAUGGACAUUCUUAUGUCCUUAUGUACCCAGAAUUGGUCGCUUCAAUUCAUAGCUUAGGAGUGCUCCUAGAUGAUUUUUUCAUACCAAACUCUCACAUAGCAGCAUCCAUAAGUUACCUUUUCUACUACCUGUAGUUUGUUAGGGGAAUCCUUCCCAUCCUGACAUUGACCUGGCCUCAGUUAUCCAUACCUUGGUCAUCUCUUGCUGGACUGAAGCAAUGUGAUAUACCUAGGCACGAGGUCUUGAGGGCUUAGGAAAGCACCGUUGGUACAGAACACUGUAAACACAAGCUGUAUAGCUGUUUGUGUGAUGAAUGCCAACAUCAUCAAAAGCAAGGUGAAUGCCAGGGAAAGUCUGCAAGUGAGGUGUCAAGUCUGCAGGCUGCCUGCACACACAAAUUUUAAAUGUAUGUAUUCUAGCUGCCCCAACUGGAUCCCUACACUCUGAUGGAAUCCGAGCUGUACACGGACUCCUGACAUCAACCCUUCUCUUUGACAGCCAUUACAGGAAGAGAUGAAAAAGGAGAUUGUAAUUUCUAAUGCAAAACUAAAUCUCUGUGUCGUUUUGUACCCUCCCACAUUAAGAUACACCUGCCUUUAUCUGGAAAGCAUAAUGGCAAGAGAAGGUAGUUUGAAAAGAGUGGCAGGCAUUCAUGCACCUUCUUAUGUAAAAGUGGUCCAGAAAUCCCUGUGCAUCUGUACUUCAAUCAAACACAUGCAGAAAUGAAUCUUUCCUCCUUAGCAGAUCAGGGAUGUAUCAAUGUUAAUAAAAAACUGCAACGGUGAUAUAAAAAUAAAAAACUUCUGGUGUUUAUUAUGUAGUAAAAGGAAACUUGUAAAACUCAUAUUUGUUGGUGCUGGUUUCCAGAGCCAGGAUAACUCAGGUGUUUUGACACUAUAAUGUUUUCUUGUAUGAGUAUGACCUCAGGCAGCAGAGUACCCAAGGGAUAAUUCAAUCAGAGACACCAAGGCA